rnacentral:rRNA from 1 species
GCAUGAGUGAAGAAGGCCUUCGGGUUGUAAAGUACUUUCAGCGGGGAGGAAGGCGAUGUGGUUAAUAACCACGUCGAUUGACGUUACCCGCAGAAGAAGCACCGGCUAACUCCGUGCCAGCAGCCGCGGUAAUACGGAGGGUGCAAGCGUUAAUCGGAAUUACUGGGCGUAAAGCGCACGCAGGCGGUCUGUUAAGUCAGAUGUGAAAUCCCCGGGCUUAACCUGGGAACUGCAUUUGAAACUGGCAGGCUUGAGUCUCGUAGAGGGGGGUAGAAUUCCAGGUGUAGCGGUGAAAUGCGUAGAGAUCUGGAGGAAUACCGGUGGCGAAGGCGUCUAUCU